rnacentral:lncRNA from 8 species
CGUCUCAGUCACCAGAUCUCAACCCAAUUAAACACUUAUGGGUGAUUCUGGACUGGUGCCUGAGACAGUGUUUUCCACCACCAUCAACAUAACACCAAAUUAUGGCAUUAUUGUGGAAGAAAGGAGUUGCAUCCCUACAAUAGAGUUUCUGAAACGUGUAGAAUCUAUGCCAAGGUGAAUUGAAGCUGUUCUAGCUUGUGGAUGCACAACGCCCUAUUAAGACACUGUUGGUGUUUCCUUUAUUUGGGCAGUUAUCUGUAUUUGUGGUACAGCUAGUGAAAAAGGAAGUCAGCUUUCUGAUCUUCGCUUUGAAGAAUGAUAGUGUUUCAAUGCCCAUGUAUAAAAUACCUUAAACAACAUUGCGCCCCCCACCCCCCUUACCCGGGCUCAGAUCCAAUCCCUCAACCUUGCUAACCAUGCUCCUUCCCCUCUGCAACGGCAACCAAUCAAGCCAGAGGCAAUGGGUAGAAAAGAGCAGACGUUCUGUGCUAUCCAACCAGGACCAAGUUAACUACACUGGCUUACAACAGUUACUUUAUUAUCCAUUUCUACCUUUUGACUGAGAAGAAGAUGAGGGUCGUCAAUAUGGGUCUUCUGCUGGUUUGUGCAGCCUUUGCUCAGUCCUUCAAGCCUCAAGGUGGGGGGAAUCUGAGAGAGGAGGAGGCCAUGUGGGGGGACUACCUAAUGGACAGAGAUGACAACCAUGCCGAGAUCAAAGCUGUCCUUCCAGGUACCUGCUUUGCGUGUAAGCGCAUCAUCAACAAGGUCAAGGCCCAGCUGGAUGGUGAUAAUGACAAGGAUAACAUCGCUGCUAAGUUGGAUACUAUUUGUGGCAGCAUGGGGAUACUCAAAGCCAUCUGCAAGAAACUGGUCAAUAAAUACAAAGAAGAACUGAUUACAGACCUUGUCAAUGAUGAGGACGCAAAGGAUGCCUGUAAGAAAUUGAAGCUAUGCAAAUAGAAUACCAUUUACCCAUGAUUGCCCUGGGCACACGUUUCUUUCAGAUGAACACGCUGUCAUAGCUUAGCUUUACAUUAUUUUCAUACACAACUGUCUGGAUGGAAUGGCAGUCUUUAAAGCCACUUGACAUUGAUAAAGACUGACAUUCCAUCCAGCCAGAAGAGGACUGGCCACCCAUCAGAGCCUGGUUCCUCUCUAGGUUUCUUCCCAGGUUCGUGCCUUUCUAGAGAGUUUUUCCUAGCCACCAUGCUUUUACAUCUGCAUUGCUUGCUGUUUGGGGUUUUUGGCUGGGUUUCUGUGUAGCACUUUGUGACAUCGGAUGGUGUAAAAAGGGCUUCAUAAAUAUAUUUGAUUGAUUGAUUACUACUGCAAUUUUUAUUGAAUUAAAUACUGAAGGUUAUUCAAAACAGUCUCCUUCAUUUCACAAUAAAACCCUUUCUAUUAAUUUAUACUAUUUCCCUGGAAUGCAUUCUAGAAUGAGGGGCUUUGUCUCUCCCUUUUGGAUAUUUUACAUUGGAAAAAUCAACCUGUGAAUUAGGGCUCAAUUUGAUCGUAUCACGGAAGAUCCAAGUUAUAGCUCGAUUGAAAUUUAAAGGCGAAAUUACCUUCACAUUUUAACACAGAUCUUCCGCAAUAUGGAUCGAAUCCCCUCCCCCCCAACUGACAAAUGGUAUAUUCAGUGCUUUCAGAGUACCACUAUAAAUGUAAACACAAGUCACGCUGUAGUACAUAACGUUAGUCGUGGUAACUGCUAACGAGAAAGAGUUGUGGUUACUAAUGAGUUCAAGGGUGUAAGUGGUCCAUGUAUAAAAUGUAUUUUGUGACAACAUUGGCCCAAAACAUUCAGUAUCUUGUGACUGAGGAGAAUAUGAGGGCCACCUCUCUUAUCAUCAGUAUUGGUCUUCUGCUGGUUUGUGCAGGUAAACAUGUGGACCUUCUUUUGUGAUGUAAAAUGUAAGGCAUAUAGAUAGUAACUAAAUAGGCCUAAUGAAAUGUAACUAAAUAGGUCUUGUCAUGACUUGCCCACCUGGAUGGAGAUCAAAGGUGCUGGCUAAACAAAGGUUUCAAGACCCCUCCUCUCCUGGGGGAGUUGGCCAGUUUUAUGGUGGCAGUAAAUACCUCGCAGAAACUCUCUCUCCCACUCUGCAGAAAUGGAAGUUAAAAAUCCCUUUGUUACAACAGAGGUUUUGCAGUACUGUAACAUCAAAAGGUUAGACAUUGAAAAAAUAUUUCUUAUGUAAAUAAUGAGGGUCGGGAGGGACUUAAAGAACAAUCAUGUCAAAUCAGUUGUUGUUUUGUGAUCUCAUCAAGGACGGUAUGACCAAAUAACGGUAACUCUACAAAUGUACAUGUCCCAGUUAUCAGAUUUACAUCUACAUUUUGUGGAACAUAUAUGAUUUAAUAUGAAACUAUUUGUGAGAAGAUUAAAUAUGAUUUUAGCCUUCUAAAUGAAACUGGCUCUCAUGACGACCGCCAGAGGAAAGGAAGACCCAGAGUUAGCUCUGCUGCAGAGGAUAAGUUCAUUAGAGUUACAAACCUCAGUAAUUACAGCCCAAAUAAAUGCUUCAGAGUUCAAGUAAGAGACACAUUUUAACAUCAACUGUUCAGAGGAGACCGUGAAUCAGGCCUUCAUGGUCAAUUACUGCAAAGCACUGGUGUAAAGUACUUACGCAAAAAUACUUUAAAGUACUACUCAAGUAUUUUGGAGGGGUGUCUGUACUUUACUUUCUGAAUUAUAUUUUUGGCAACUUUUACUUCACUACAUCCGAAAGAAAAUAAAUGUACUUUUUACUCCAUAUAUUUUCCCUGACACCCAAAAGUACUCGUUACAUUUUAACAGGAAAAUUGUCCAAUUCACACACUUAUCAAGAGAACAUCUCUGGUCAUCCCUACUGCAUGUGAUCUGGCAAACUCACUAAACACAAAUGCUUUGUUUGUAAAUUAUGUCUGAGUGUUGGAGUGUGCCCCUGGCUAUGCGUCAACAUUAAACAAUAUUUUAAAAAAUUGUGCAGUCUGGUUUGCUUGAAUUUGAAAUUAUUUAUACUUUUGAUACUUAACUCUUGGGGCUAGGUGUCCCGCUAGCGGGAUUGAAGCCGACAACAUCCGGUGAAAUUGGAGGGCGCGCAAUUCAAAUAAAUAUUUGUAAUAUUAAACAUUCAUGAACAUACAAGUGUCUUAUAUGUCUUAUAUGUUCCGGAACUCCAAUUUGAGCAGCAGCAGCUGAAAAAUGAGCUCCUACAAAUAUUGAAAUUUACAUGGUUUUUAGAGUGAAGUACAUCGGAAAAAAGCAAAAGAAAACUGCAAGACUGAAUAGGAGAAAAAACAAGCAACAAACAAAGAAGAUAGGCUUUUGAAAAAUAACUAUUUUUCAUAAAAUUGUAGUUAUCUUAGCUAGCUGAAUUGUUUACCAGUUGCUAAGCAGUUGCUAGGGACUCUUUUGGAAGAAGCUAGCUAGCUAACGAAGAACAACAAAGAAUAUCUAGUUAACAGAAGAAAAGAAAGAGAAAAUCAGGACAGAAGAAAAAGGAUAUCAAAGUGAAACAGUUCUCUAAAGACACAGGAGACAAUAAUACAAGAAACAAC